AUUUAUAACAAAUGGACUGGAUGCUCACCAUAAUCUGGAUGAAAAAUCUGGCGAAUGAGGAGCAGGAACCAUUCUUUAGUCAAGCCGCCCAUAUCCAAUCCAGCUUCCCCCACAAAGCAGGAAAUGGCAUUUGAAAACCAAAAUGUGAAUGCUGAAGUGCUCAUCACUACUGGGAAGUUACUGCUUCAAGGGCAUUUCCAUGCAGAGGACCAAGAAGAAGACACGCAGACACCUGUGUCUAUUAAAAUCCAUGAGCUCAUCAUGAAUUCUUCAAGUCUACUUCAGUACCUGGGAUGGCCUUAGUCUUUCCCUUACUGCUUCUUGAGAGGACCUCUGAUGUAGAACUCAUGACCCACCUGAAUUUAGGCGAGACCAAGCCAGAACUGCCAGAA